UGUUGCUACGCCAAGUUUUUACCCUAAUUUUAUGUUCUUCUUGAAAUCUAAUUCGUUAUUCUGUGGAAAAAUAAGAAAAUUAGAUUAGAAGACUUGUUAUUGAACUGAAAACUCCGUUAUCACAAUCUCUGAAUCUACGAAAACGUGUCACACUAUUCUUUUUUUAUCAAACACGAAAUUUGCCCGUGAAAAAGAUAAUAGUAUAUUUCAUGGUCACAAGAUGGUUGUCUGUCAAAAGCGGAGAAAAAAAUACAUUACGAAGAGGACUGUUUGAAGGAAUCACAAUACUUGAGAAAGGCCAUUAAUAACGUCGAUAUGGCUUAUCGCUUUGUAAGGUUCAAUUCAUCCAUCCAAUUGAAUGAUGAAAAAAGGUGGACGACGACUCCACAAUUUUUGGGAGAAUGGCGCAUUCGAGCGUCAAAAAUUGAAUGGAAAAACAGUGACGUACUGCUUGAUUUGUAAAGAUCACUUGUCCAAUACGGCAGAGGAGAGACUAAGAAUUCACAGAAACACAUGCAGAAAGGCAAGAGGCUCUUCAAAUCCCUCUGAAAAUCGACAGAAGUCAAAUCAAUCACCAGAUGAGAAUUCGAACAUCCAGUCCCUAUCCGCGGUAUCGAUCGAGAAAAAAACAUCUCCAGCUUCCUGUCCUCCAUACUCAAGUAGAGCGUGAUACUGCUCUUGGGAAAUUUAUUUAUGGAUGUAAUAUUCCUUUUGAGGCAGUCGAAUCAAAGAUGUUCCUGGAUCUCAUAGCACACUUACGUCCUUCAUAUAAACCAAUUCCUGCAACUUUACUCUCAGGGCAUUUGCUAGAUAACAUCCACACUGAACUAACCGACAAUCGUUCAGUACGUCCCACUUCGGAAGGAAUAUUGAGCAUUACAGAGACAGAAAUUCAAUCGAAGGUUCACGUAAUUGGGUUUUUGAACUCUCAGCAAAAGACAGAUUAUUUAAAAACUUGGGAUGUUUACAGGAUGAGAUUGAAUUUAUCAGCAAUAUUCAAUGAAGCAAUUCAUUUAGCUACCACGAAGUUUGGAGUCUCUGUAUAUGCUCUUAUCACCGAUCAAGACAUUCAGCUAAUUGAAAAAGAAUCUCUUGAAGGGGUAUGGCUAUUACAAUGCAAUAGCUCAUUCGCUAUAUCAGUAGAAAUGAGUAUUCGUGACGUAGAGUUGAAGGAAAAGGUACGAUAUGUACUCGAAGAAUUUAUGACAACUGGAUUAGACAAGGAAGUGAUACUGCGAGGGGGAGUCUCCAACGAUCUUCAAGACAGUUCCUCUUAUAAAAAUUGGAACCUGCUCUCAAAUUUUACCAAUAAUCUCCAAGUUAUGAUACAAAUUAUGGGGGAUAGAAAAUUGACGUUGGGGAAAGAAGUAAUCAACAUCCUGAUUGAUGAAUCUGUUGAAGAGCCGGUCAAUAAAACAUUGAAAAUGUUGAAGCCGCUUCACACUCUCAUGAAAAAAUGCCAUGAGGGAACUACGAUUGCUGAUGCAACCGAGGAUUGCCUGAUGCUGGCGUCAGACGAUGACCCUUCAUAUGAUGGAAUUCGAUAUCAGAUUUAUCAAUUUCUGUCUCCAAUAAUGUUGGUGACAAACUUUCUUCAUCCAGUGUACAGAGGAAAGCGUUUCAUAAAGGAUCAAGCUUGCAUGCAGAGGGUGAUGGAGUUUUUGAUCGAUCAUCUUGAGGAAGAAGGAAUAGAAAGCUUCGGGAAGUUCCAAGAAUCUCUCACGAGUAGAAAAAUACACUAAUCGGCUAACCUAUUGGCAGGCUGUUUCAUCUGUACAUCCUCAGUUAUCUUCUCUCCCUCUUAAACUACUGAGAUUGCCUGCAGCAGUACCAAAGAUGAAAGGACACCCAAAGCAUGUGAAUAGUUUAUCAGCAGACCAAUUUGAGAAGCUGAAGGACAUUUUCUAUUAUCUCAAUAUUUAGACUGAGCAAACGGUAUGUGACUGAUGAGUGCAACAUAAUGUGAUAUGUUUGUUCGAUGAUUUGCUAUUUAUUUGAAAUUUUAUGACUGUUAGAGUUGUGACCUGA